rnacentral:rRNA from 1 species
UACGUAGGGGGCAAGCGUUGUCCGGAAUCAUUGGGCGUAAAGAGCGUGUAGGCGGCUUGGUAAGUCCGCUGUGAAAGUCCAGGGCUCAACCCUGGAAAGCCGGUGGAAACUGUCAAGCUUGAGUCCGGAAGAGGCGAGUGGAAUUCCUGGUGUAGCGGUGAAAUGCGCAGAUAUCAGGAGGAACACCAUGGCGAAGGCAGGCUCGUGGGACCGG